ensembl:snRNA U2 U2 spliceosomal RNA
UGCGCUUCUCGGCCUUUUGGCUAAGAUCAAGUGUAGUAUCUGUUCUUGUCAGCGCUGUGCUUGGGUAGCUUUUAGAAGGAGUCUCAGAGGUAAUCUUAUGUGCAGUAGUAGGUGGCUUGACCGCCGCUGCCGCAUGUGGUCCUCUGAGCUCCUUUUUAGGGUUUUAAUUUUC